rnacentral:rRNA from 1 species
AUCCUUUGUAAGCUUUAGUAGAUAGAAGUGUUCUCUUCGGAGACAAAGUGACAGGUGGUGCAUGGUCGUCGUCAGCUCGUGUCGUGAGAUGUUGGGUUAAGUCCCGCAACGAGCGCAACCCUUAUUGUUAGUUGCCAGCAUUCAGUUGGGCACUCUAACGAGACUGCCGGUGACAAACCGGAGGAAGGCGGGGACGACGUCAGAUCAUCAUGCCCCUUAUGACCUGGGCUACACACGUGCUACAAUGGCGUAUACAACGAGUUGCCAACCCGCGAGGGUGAGCUAAUCUCUUAAAGUACGUCUCAGUUCGGACUGCAGUCUGCAACUCGACUGCACGAAGUCGGAAUCGCUAGUAAUCGCGGAUCAGCACGCCGCGGUGAAUACGUUCCCGGGUCUU